UUUGACCAAAAACACCAACUUUGGCUACAAACAUCCAUUUUCUACUAACUUUGACCAAAAACACCAACUUUGGCUACAAACAUCUUGUUUCUACCAACUUUGACCAAAAACACCAACUUUGGCUACAAACAUCUAGUUUCUACCAACUUUAACCAAAAACACCAACUUUGGCUACAAACAUCUAGUUUCUACUAACUUUGACCAAAAACACCAACUUUGGCUACAAACAUCCAUUUUCUACCAACUUUGACCAAAAACACCAACUUUGGCUACAAAUAUCCAUUUUCUACUAACUUUGACCAAAAACACCAACUUUGGCUACAAACAUCUUGUUUCUACCAACUUUGACCAAAAACACCAACUUUGGCUACAAACAUCUAGUUUCUACCAACUUUAACCAAAAACACCAACUUUGGCUACAAACAUCUAGUUUCUACCAACUUUGACCAAAAACACCAACUUUGGCUACAAACAUCCAUUUUCUACCAACUUUGACCAAAAACACCAACUUUGGCUACAAACAUCCAUUUUCUACUAACUUUGACCAAAAACACCAACUUUGGCUACAAACAUCCAUUUUCUACCAACUUUGACCAAAAACACCAACUUUGGCUACAAACAUCCAUUUUCUACUAACUUUGACCAAAAACACCAACUUUGGCUACAAACAUCUUGUUUCUACCAACUUUGACCAAAAACACCAACUUUGGCUACAAACAUCUAGUUUCUACCAACUUUAACCAAAAACACCAACUUUGGCUACAAACAUCUAGUUUCUACCAACUUUAACCAAAAACACCAACUUUGGCUACAAACAUCCAUUUUCUACCAACUUUGACCAAAAACACCAACUUUGGCUACAAACAUCCAUUUUCUACUAACUUUGACCAAAAACACCAACUUUGGCUACAAACAUCUAGUUUCUACCAACUUUAACCAAAAACACCAACUUUGGCUACAAACAUCUAGUUUCUACCAACUUUGACCAAAAACACCAACUUUGGCUACAAACAUCCAUUUUCUACUAACUUUGACCAAAAACACCAAUUUUGGCUACAAACAUCCAUUUUCUACCAACUUUAACCAAAAACACCAAUUUUGGCUACAAACAUCCAUUUUCUACCAACUUUGACCAAAAACACCAACUUUGGCUACAAACAUCCAUUUUCUACUAACUUUGACCAAAAACACCAACUUUGGCUACAAACAUCCAUUUUCUACCAACUUUGACCAAAAACACCAACUUUGGCUACAAACAUCCAUUUUCUACUAACUUUGACCAAAAACACCAACUUUGGCUACAAACAUCUAGUUUCUACCAACUUUAACCAAAAACACCAACUUUGGCUACAAACAUCUAGUUUCUACCAACUUUGACCAAAAACACCAACUUUGGCUACAAACAUCCAUUUUCUACUAACUUUGACCAAAAUCAUCAACUUUGGCUACAAACAUCCAUUUUCUACCAACUUUAACCAAAAUCAUCAACUUUGGCUACAAACAUCCAUUUUCUACCAACUUUGACCAAAAACACCAACUUUGGCUACAAACAUCCAUUUUCUACUAACUUUGACCAAAAACACCAACUUUGGCUACAAACAUCUUGUUUCUACCAACUUUGACCAAAAACACCAACUUUGGCUACAAACAUCUAGUUUCUACCAACUUUAACCAAAAACACCAACUUUGGCUACAAACAUCUAGUUUCUACUAACUUUGACCAAAAACACCAACUUUGGCUACAAACAUCCAUUUUCUACCAACUUUGACCAAAAACACCAACUUUGGCUACAAACAUCCAUUUUCUACUAACUUUGACCAAAAACACCAACUUUGGCUACAAACAUCCAUUUUCUACCAACUUUGACCAAAAACACCAACUUUGGCUACAAACAUCCAUUUUCUACUAACUUUGACCAAAAACACCAACUUUGGCUACAAACAUCUUGUUUCUACCAACUUUGACCAAAAACACCAACUUUGGCUACAAACAUCUAGUUUCUACCAACUUUAACCAAAAACACCAACUUUGGCUACAAACAUCUAGUUUCUACCAACUUUAACCAAAAACACCAACUUUGGCUACAAACAUCCAUUUUCUACCAACUUUGACCAAAAACACCAACUUUGGCUACAAAUAUCCAUUUUCUACUAACUUUGACCAAAAACACCAACUUUGGCUACAAACAUCUUGUUUCUACCAACUUUGACCAAAAACACCAACUUUGGCUACAAACAUCUAGUUUCUACCAACUUUAACCAAAAACACCAACUUUGGCUAUAAACAUCUAGUUUCUACCAACUUUGACCAAAAACACCAACUUUGGCUACAAACAUCCAUUUUCUACCAACUUUGACCAAAAACACCAACUUUGGCUACAAACAUCCAUUUUCUACUAACUUUGACCAAAAACACCAACUUUGGCUACAAACAUCCAUUUUCUACCAACUUUGACCAAAAACACCAACUUUGGCUACAAACAUCCAUUUUCUACUAACUUUGACCAAAAACACCAACUUUGGCUACAAACAUCUUGUUUCUACCAACUUUGACCAAAAACACCAACUUUGGCUACAAACAUCUAGUUUCUACCAACUUUGACCAAAAACACCAACUUUGGCUACAAACAUCUAGUUUCUACCAACUUUAACCAAAAACACCAAUUUUGGCUACAAACAUCCAUUUUCUACCAACUUUGACCAAAAACACCAACUUUGGCUACAAACAUCCAUUUUCUACUAACUUUGACCAAAAACACCAACUUUGGCUACAAACAUCUAGUUUCUACCAACUUUAACCAAAAACACCAACUUUGGCUACAAACAUCCAUUUUCUACCAACUUUGACCAAAAACACCAACUUUGGCUACAAACAUCCAUUUUCUACUAACUUUGACCAAAAACACCAACUUUGGCUACAAACAUCUAGUUUCUACUAACAUUGACCAAAACCAUCAACUUUGGUCACAAACAUCUAGUUUCUACUAACUUUGACCAAAACCAUCAGCUACAUCCGCGUAUGUAGAAUGUGUGCGAGAAUGUGUGCGAUGCUAUUGGCCGCAAACAAUGUUCCUCUCUGUUUGCCACAACAUUUUUUACUAUUUCCAAUGUUUUUACCUGCAUUGAAACAGGUGGUUGAAAAUGUUAUGCACAGGUAUUUUUAUAUCCGAAAAAUAAUCUGUUCAGUGCCCUUCUUCAAAAGAACGAAUUGAUGGACAAAUUGAAAUACAUCUGAGCACAUCGACGUAAAACAACUUAUUAUAGCUAAUGAACAGAUCUAUCCAAAUCUCUGUUACAAUUGAAGAUCCAUUGGAAACUGACCGAGUUAUGGCAGGUGACAGAAAAAGCUUAGGUCGCGAAUAACUUUUUUGUCCGACAUCGGAGCACAUGGUCGUGGAAGACUUUUAGCUUGCAUUCAUUGAGAUCUAUCCAAAUCACAAAGAAAAUCCAAAAUCGGUUGAUAAAUGACUGAGAUAUGGGCAAAAAAAAAGAAGUUGAAAUGCGAACCGCGAGAAAUCAGCCUGAAGGUAGGCAAUUCGUAUAAGCCAUUCAAUGAAUUAGAAGUUACUUUUUCGAAUAACAUUUGACACGGACAACUUAGCACAUCGGCGUAGAAUAACUUUUGGUAGCUUAUGAGAAGAUCUAUCCAUAUCUGUGUUACAAUUGAAGAUCCAUUGGAAACUGACCGAGUUAUGGCAGGUGACAGAAAAAGCUUAGGUCGCGAAUAACUUUUUUGUCCGACAUCGGAGCACAUGGUCGUGUAAGACUUUUAGCUUGCAUUCAUUGAGAUCUAUCCAAAUCACAAAGAAAAUCCAAAAUCGGUUGAUAAAUGACUGAGAUAUGGGCAAAAAAGAGAAGUUGAAAUGCGAACCGCGAGAAAUCAGCCUGAAGGUAGGCAAUUCGUAUAAGCCAUUCAAUGAAUUAGAAGUUACUUUUUCGAAUAACAUUUGACACGGACAACUUAGCACAUCGGCGUAGAAUAACUUUUGGUAGCUUAUGAGAAGAUCUAUCCAUAUCUGUGUUACAAUUGAAGAUCCAUUGGAAACUGACCGAGUUAUGGCAGGUGACAGAAAAAGCUUAGGUCGCGAAUAACUUUUUUGUCCGACAUCGGAGCACAUGGUCGUGGAAGACUUUUAGCUUGCAUUCAUUGAGAUCUAUCCAAAUCACAAAGAAAAUCCAAAAUCGGUUGGUAAAUGACUGAGAUAUGGGCAAAAAAAAGAAGUUGAAAUGCGAACCGCGAGAAAUCAGCCUGAAGGUAGGCAAUUCGUAUAAGCCAUUCAAUGAAUUAGAAGUUACUUUUUCGAAUAACAUUUGACACGGACAACUUAGCACAUCGGCGUAGAAUAACUUUUGGUAGCUUAUGAGAAGAUCUAUCCAUAUCUGUGUUACAAUUGAAGAUCCAUUGGAAACUGACCGAGUUAUGGCAGGUGACAGAAAAAGCUUAGGUCGCGAAUAACUUUUUUGUCCGACAUCGGAGCACAUGGUCGUGUAAGACUUUUAGCUUGCAUUCAUUGAGAUCUAUCCAAAUCACAAAGAAAAUCCAAAAUCGGUUGAUAAAUGACUGAGAUAUGGGCAAAAAAGAGAAGUUGAAAUGCGAACCGCGAGAAAUCAGCCUGAAGGUAGGCAAUUCGUAUAAGCCAUUCAAUGAAUUAGAAGUUACUUUUUCGAAUAACAUUUGACACGGACAACUUAGCACAUCGGCGUAGAAUAACUUUUGGUAGCUUAUGAGAAGAUCUAUCCAUAUCUGUGUUACAAUUGAAGAUCCAUUGGAAACUGACCGAGUUAUGGCAGGUGACAGAAAAAGCUUAGGUCGCGAAUAACUUUUUUGUCCGACAUCGGAGCACAUGGUCGUGUAAGACUUUUAGCUUGCAUUCAUUGAGAUCUAUCCAAAUCACAAAGAAAAUCCGAAAUCGGUUGAUAAAUGACUGAGAUAUGGGCAAAAAAGAGAAGUUGAAAUGCGAACCGCGAGAAAUCAGCCUGAAGGUAGGCAAUUCGUAUAAGCCAUUCAAUGAAUUAGAAGUUACUUUUUCGAAUAACAUUUGACACGGACAACUUAGCACAUCGGCGUAGAAUAACUUUUGGUAGCUUAUGAGAAGAUCUAUCCAUAUCUGUGUUACAAUUGAAGAUCCAUUGGAAACUGACCGAGUUACGGCAGGUGACAGAAAAAGCUUAGGUCGCGAAUAACUUUUUUGUCCGACAUCGGAGCACAUGGCCGUGUACACUUUUAGCUUGCAUUCAUUGAGAUCUAUCCAAAUCACAAAAAAAAAUCCAAAAUCGGUUGAUAAAUGACUGAGAUAUGGGCAAAAAAGAGAAGUUGAAAUGCGAACCGCGAGAAAACAGCCUGAAGGUAGGCAAUUCGUAUAAGCCAUUCAAUGAAUUAGAAGUUACUUUUUCGAAUAACAUUUGACACGGACAACUUAGCACAUCGGCGUAGAAUAACUUUUGGUAGCUUAUGAGAAGAUCUAUCCAUAUCUGUGUUACAAUUGAAGAUCCAUUGGAAACUGACCGAGUUAUGGCAGGUGACAGAAAAAGCUUAGGUCGCGAAUAACUUUUUUGUCCGACAUCGGAGCACAUGGUCGUGUAAGACUUUUAGCUUGCAUUCAUUGAGAUCUAUCCAAAUCACAAAGAAAAUCCGAAAUCGGUUGAUAAAUGACUGAGAUAUGGGCAAAAAAGAGAAGUUGAAAUGCGAACCGCGAGAAAUCAGCCUGAAGGUAGGCAAUUCGUAUAAGCCAUUCAAUGAAUUAGAAGUUACUUUUUCGAAUAACAUUUGACACGGACAACUUAGCACAUCGGCGUAGAAUAACUUUUGGUAGCUUAUGAGAAGAUCUAUCCAUAUCUGUGUUACAAUUGAAGAUCCAUUGGAAACUGACCGAGUUACGGCAGGUGUCAGAAAAAGCUUAGGUCGCGAAUAACUUUUUUGUCCGACAUCGGAGCACAUGGCCGUGUACACUUUUAGCUUGCAUUCAUUGAGAUCUAUCCAAAUCACAAAAAAAAAUCCAAAAUCGGUUGAUAAAUGACUGAGAUAUGGGCAAAAAAGAGAAGUUGAAAUGCGAACCGCGAGAAAACAGCCUGAAGGUAGCCAAUUCGUAUAAGCCAUUCAAUGAAUUAGAAGUUACUUUUUCGAAUAACUUUUUCCACAGACAUCUGAGCACAUCGACGUUGAACAACUUAUGGUAGCUAAUGAGCAGAUCUAUCCAAAUCUGUGUUACAAUUGAAGAUCCAUUGGAAACUGACCGAGUUAUAAGCAUCCAAAGUGGCAAAAUGAGAAAUUUUUGUUUGAAAAACCAAGAAAAUUUUAAGUCUUUGUAUCUCGAAUAACAUUUGACACAGACAACUUAGCACAUCGGCGUAGAAUAACUUUUGGUAGCUUAUGAAAAGAUCUAUCCAUAUCUGUGUUACAAUUGAAGAUCCAUUGGAAACUGACCGAGUUAUAAGCAUCCAAAGUGGCAAAAUGAGAAAUUUUUUUU